GUAGAAGAUUUGAAGCCAUUCCAAUUUCAGUGCCUGAUGUCUCCCGUAGUGAAUUUUCCAAAAUAUUUGACAGAAUGGCAAAAGAACCUCCUUGUGCUGCAGACGAAAUUGACAUAGUUAGCUUCAAAGACGAUGUAGAUGCAGUUACCGCACAGCUUCUGAAUGAGGAUCCUCGCUGCCUCACCAUUUCAAUUGUGGGUGCCCGAGGCAUCGGCAAGGCAAGCCUCGCCAAGUUAAUUUAUGACAGUCAAGCUAUUGCCCAUCAUUUCCCUCAUCGUGUCUGGAUUUCAAGCAGAGGUGAAAGCAAGGAAACUAUCAUGAUGCAGAUUUUGGGCAUUGAGGGAUCUGAUAUAUAUCGUGAUCCAAAGGACACAGAGGAAAGCUAUAUAUGUAGGGUGAGGCAAACGGUUAACGCUUUCUUCAUGGAUAAGAAGUAUCUUAUAGUUAUCGAUGACCCAUGUUCAAGUAAAGUCUGGAAUGCAUGUGAAUUCUGGAGAGGAAUGGGAAGUGCCUUCAAUGAGAUAUCAAAUGGAACAAGAAUACUUUUCACAGUUUGUCAUAUAUGGCAAGCUCCACCCCUUACUGAAACUAAUUUCACUUGCAGACUGCAUCUGCGAACCAAUGAUGAGAGCUGGGCAUUGUUCAAACAUACUUUGCAGGUAAACAUCCCUCCAGAGUUGCAGCAUCUGAAGGGACGCAUCAUCAGCAAAUGUGGGGGGUUACCAGCGGUAAUUGUGAAACUGGCAGAACUACUGUCACACACAGAUGCAACUCUAGAGGAGUGGUCGAGGGUUCUUGACCAGCUAAAUCAAGAUGAAGAACCCUGGUCAGGAGUAUUGGAAGAGAUAAAAAAUUAUUUGCCAUUGUAUUUGAGGCGAUGUCUCUUUUAUUUUGGAUUAUUCCCGGCAGGCUAUAAGAUCCCUGCAAGAAGAUUGAUUGCCUUGUGGGUUGCUGAGGGUCUGGGGCAUCAACAGGAUGAUGCAAUAUCCCCUGAAUAUGUUGCAGAGACAUGCUUGAGAGAGUUAAUUAACUAUACUAUUGUUCAGGUGACAGAAAGCAAACUCAAUGGAAAGGUUAAGACGUGCUGCCUACCAGAGGCUCUGCAAGUACACUGGUUUAAAAAAGCCAAGGAAGCUAAAUUUCUUCAAGGUCACUCCAACAUCUCUGACACUGACAUUGGUGUAAUACGCCGUCUUGCUGACCAUCUUCAGCAGAAUGAUGCCGUCUUUGAUGAUAUUCAUCAUUUCAACAAUACUUCCUCAUUCUCUCGCUACAGAGAUGUGGUUUCCUUUAUAUCCUUUGAUACUCGAGAAGGAAGCAAACCAGGAGAAGAGAUAGGGAACUUUCUAGAUAGAUGCAUCUCAAGCAAUUGUUUCCGUUUGCUUUGGGUGUUGGAUCUUGAACAAGUAUACAAACCAAAACUGCCCAAGGCUGUAGGCCAACUCAUUUGGUUGAAGUACCUUGGCUUGAGAUCAACAUACCUUCAGAUGCUUCCUGCAUUCAUCAACAAAUUGCUAAACCUUCAAACGCUGGAUUUGAAGCGUACUUGCAUCAACACUCUUCCAAGUUCAAUAUGGAUGAUGCAAAAGCUGAGGCAUUUGUUUCUAGAUGAGAGUUUCCGUAGUGCGUUUGUCCCCCCACAGGAGGACAGCUCUCUGGCGGACCUUCAAACACUUUGGGGUGCAUUUGUAGAUGAGGAUAGCCCAGUGAGAAAUGGCCUGGAAACUUCAUUGAACAUUACAAAAUUGGGACUAAAAUGCAAGAUAUCUGUGCCAUCUCAAAAAGCAGCAAUGUCCUCACAACUUGUUGAUGUGGAAAAUUGGGUUCUAAAACUAAAACGCCUUCAAUCCUUGAGGUUGAAAUCAUUUGAUGAAUCAGGUCUGCCAUGGGAUCUUCACUUACGGUCUUUGUCAGGCCAUGUGGAUCUCUCCAGUAUAUAUUUGGUUGGAAAGCUAAAGAAUCAGCAGCUUGUAUCUGAGUUACCCGGAAGCCUGAUUGAGCUCACCUUGUCAGCAUCUGGACUGGUAGAGGACCCAAUGCAAACGUUGGCCAAGCUACCCAACCUUAGAAUCGUUAGGCUGUUGUCCAGAUCUUUCACAGGAAAGAAUAUGCUUUGCAGUUUUGGAGGAUUUCCAAAGCUUGAAGUCCUCAAAUUCUGGGAGCUAGAGCUCCUGGAGGAGUGGAAUGUGGAGGAAGGAGCACUGACUAGCCUGAAGGACUUGGAAAUCAGAUCCUGCGGAAAUUUAAAGAUGCUUCCUGAUGGACUCCAGCAUGUUAGGACCCUUCGCGAAUUGAAAUUAACAAAAUUGCCAAUGGUAUCAUCAAGGAUUAAAGAUAAUCUUGGUGGGGAAUGGAAUAAAAUUGCUCAUAUACGCCAUGUGUGGAAGGAAGAUUGAUAAUGCUAGGUCCAACAGAUUCAUGGGUACGUUUCUACUGUUUAUUUAACAUCCUCUACCAUUUAAUUUAUUAGAAUAUUUACUUAAUUAUCAAGAUAAUAAUAAUUUUACCAUUGUUAUAUUGCUUUUUCAUUCAGGAUUUAUUCUCAAAGUCAUGAUUCAGACCUAAUCAAAUCAGAUGAUGAUGAAGAUGAAAGCUGUUUUGUCUAAUAUAUGCAAUUAAUCAUUUGCCAAUCUUGUGUUCUUGUUUCUGCCUUUUUCUUUUCCUUUUCUCUGUUUAGAGAUCUGCGUGAACGAAUUUGAGUGUGAUGUAAUUUCUUCUGUGAUGCUUUCCAAGCAUUUCUUUAGAUCAACAUCAACCUCAGUUAUAUUUGUAAUUUUCGUUAUAAAAUGAAAAGUUAGGUUUGCAAUGAGAUUGAAUUAAGAGAAAUAAAGAUGUUUGUGCC
rnacentral:misc_RNA from 1 species